UUAGAGCGCUCGGGACAGGGCGUCUCACGUCGGCUAUUGUUGCUAUCUUCGUCAACAUGGGACUCAGCGGGAAAACUCGUCCGGGAAAGGGAUUCUCGCCGUUGUUUCCAAUAGAAGUGAAGAAUAGUCGUUUUGGCAUUCAUGGUAGUGAUAGCAACGUCUACGACAAGGAUGGAAGGUUUUUACAUGAUCUUUUCUUUUAUUAAACAGAGAAAACAAUGCUUUAGUUAUCCGAGUGUGUGUUUUUGUGCGUGUUCAAAUUUAAAUUACAACAUACAACUUCACAAAUGUCGUCAUUGCAUUCUUCCUAGUUACUACAGAUUUGUGGAAUCAAAAUUCGAGGAGAUAUUCAAGAAGCAUGCUCGUAAACAUAAAGAUGCUCUCACUUCAAAGGAAAUUAAACAAUUGCUUAAGACGAACAGAGAACCUACGACUUGAAUGGAUGGGUUUCAGCUCUUUUGGAAUGGCAACUAUUACAUAACUUGGCCAAAGACAAAAAUGGGUUGUUGACGAAAGAUGCAGUAAGAGGCGUCUACGAUGGCAGCCUUUUCACACAACUGGAGAAACAAAGAUCAUCAUCUUCUUCUCGUGGCAAGAAACAAAAGCUACCUUAAAAUUUUUACAACCAUUUCAUUAUAUAUGUUUAUGUGAAUCUUCUUACAUUACUACUAUAUACUUUUUUAUUAUGAAUAUUUAUAUAAUUAUUGUGUAAUAUUGUACA